UGCUUUAUUUGUAUUAAGAGACUUAGCUCUUCUGGAAGCUGAAAAAUUCAGAUAUUUAGUACCAAAACCAUCUUAUUAUUCUCUACACAGAAGAGAAGGAGAUGGAGAGUUUCUCUCUAUUUUGUCAAAUGAAAUUGGAGAUGAGGGGGUCCUUUUGUUCCUAACAGCAGGUGAAGACAAAGGACCAGGGCAUAUAUUGUUGACUGGACCACCUGAUACUGUAGCUGCUGUAGGACCACAGGUAUGUGACUUGCUUCAAGGGAAAGGAUCAGGAAAAAAUGGAAGAUUUCAGGCCAAGGUGGCUUCUUUUACAAAGAGAUCAAAAGCAGAAGAGAUCAUUAAGCAAGCUCUAAGAAUAAAUAACUGAAAAUGAUGAACAGUGAUUUUCACAGGGGGUGUAGAUGUAUAAUUUCUAUAUAUGUAUACAAAUGAAAAGAAGAUAGAAUUUUUGCAUUAAAGUAUUAUAGUAUUUUUUGCACGAACCUAAUCUUUUGACUUAUAACUAAGCUUUCUUCUUUUAUCCACAAUAAAUAACCAAAAUAUUUGGAAUUACACGUGUCAUCAUAAAAGUAACUUAAUUUUUAAUCAUAAUUUUUCAUGUAAUAGAUAGAUUUAAUUCUUGAAAAACAGUAACUCAGCUCAGCAUAUUUAUUAGUUUGGAAUAAUAGCUGUCCUAUUUAAAUUUGUUUCUAAACUUGUGGUUCAGUUGAACUGUGAAAAUGCUUAAAAAAUAAGUACUUUUUGUCUCUAAGCAGACUGGUUGUGAAGAUGGAAUUAAGCAACUUACCUGUACAGUAUAUGUGUACUUGACAGUUAAACAAAAACUAGAACUCUUAGAUAAUUUCUGUUCAAGAAUAUGUAUAAACCUAAAAUGUGUUAUUUAAAAAUAAAUGUCACAGUUAUUAAAUUUUUAAGUAUUAUCUUAAAAAAGCUAUUAUUUAACAUGGUAACUUGCACUAAGUAUUUCAGCAUUUCAGAGUUCAAUCAUGCUCCAGGGAAUUAGUAAAACAGGUGUCUUGCUAAAGACUACUACAUAAAUUAAACAAGAACCCUUAUGUUAGAAUAAAAACAAUUUGUACAAUCUACAAGAAUUAAAGUGCCUCUUUUUGACCAGUAUAGUACUACUGAAACAUUAAUUUAACACAUGAUCUCUUCCCCAAACAAAGAUGUCUCAGUGGCAGAGAUUGGAUGUAAAAAAUCCAGGAUCUAGUUGGUUUUGGUGAAACUUAUAAAGAUUGUAGCAUAUGGUAUUGUAUGAAAAUUAUGAUCUCAAGUUUCAAAAUUGAUAGAAAUUAACUGAGUUAUGAUGGGUCACAUCAGCAGCAGAAACACCAUAGGUAAAGAAAGUACUUCUUGGUGGGUAACUAAAGGGUUGGCUUUCUUCUUCUUUUUCCUUUGUUGCAUCUGUUUUUCAUACCUAGAGCCUAAUAGAUUUUUGGCAAGUAGCUCCAGGUCCCAUUGACCUUGAAUGUAACUUUGCUACUCUUUGGCAUGUGAUAAUCAAUCACAUUAGUCCAUCAAUUACCUCCAUGUACAAGGUUCUGAGAUGUUUGACUUACAACCUGUGCAGCUUCUAUGGGUGCAGGCUUGAUGGACUAUUUGAUGGCUGUUGUUCAUGCAAAUCUAUCUAUCAAACUUCAAGAUGCUGUGUUAGCUCUUAGAAAUUGUUUUGAUGCUAAUAGAACAGUAGUUAUAAUAGUAGUACCUUUCUGCCAGAACAGAAGAUGAAGAAUAAGGUCUUCAAUCUCAAAUAGGAAAUGAAGAAAGGUCACAUAAUUUGAUUUAAGAAUAUAGAAAAAAAGAGAUGAUCAAUUCAUGUGUGUGACUGUUGCUGGUAAAAUGGAGAAACCACUCAAAAUUCCUCUUUCUGUGACUGCUUAUAUCUCUUUACUGAAAUAGAUUACCAUCAUAUUAAUUGUAUAUUAGGAUAAAGCAGAUUCUGGACUUCUCAUUGGUGUAUAUGAUGUCUCCAAGAAAUAAUUACCAGAAUUUCCUGUUCUUUGCCCUGCCACUCAGAAACACUAGCUCAUCUCUGAUUGAGGGAAAGAUCCUGAGUUGAUAAUAUUCAAAAGUAAAUUCUGUAUUUACCUUUUUGAUUUUGGAGAUGAAUCACUAUGAGAACAGACUGAACAUAGCCUAGUGAUUAUUGUUACAGGCUGCAGUUUAAAAGAUCUUAACUUUUGAGCUGUGAUGUGCUGUUGAAAUAUGCUGUGGUUGUGUCAUAUCUGUAAUCAUCAGUUCUGCUAUUUGGCUAAGAGUAUCCAUUUAGAUGGUAUGUACUUCUGACCAGAAGUUCUAACUCAGGGAUAUCUUUACUGAACCUUGGAGUCUCUGAUCUGACCUUUAGCCUACGUGUCACAGUUAGGUUAAAAAUACAAUCCUCAAAGGCAGAGUAAGAUAUAAUGACUCACAUUUUAAAUGACUUUUAACCCUAGAAAUAUCUGUUGGAUCCAUCUGGAACUCAUUGAAUUUUAAAACAGUAUUUAUAAACUAUUUACAUGCCAAGUUUUUGUGGGUACAGGACUUUGUGUAUGAUAGGGUCUCUAAACGCAUACAAGUCAUAGUUUUUGUUUUUUUAAGAUAUAAUCAAUAUUGUAGUUAGUCUUGCAAAUUAUUACUGCAUUUUACAUAAAUAAUGAGUAGUUUCACAUAAAAAUGUUUAUCAGUUCCUUACACUGAGUCAAAGUGAAAAUAUAAAAGUACUUAAUGUAAUGCAAUAUGUAAACACUACUAAUAAUGAACAAUAUAAAAACAAAUCAGUAACUUGACGAUUUAUAUUUAUUUGUGUUUUGAUUGUAACCGAUGUUGUGUGUGUUAUUGUUUUUAGUACAGAUAAAGUUCAUUGAAGUUUUCCCCCUAAAUAUAGUUUUCACAAGUGUUGCUGGGUUCAGAUCCUUUUAGAAUAAUUUGUUAAUAGGAAAAUAGUUGAAUAAAAUUUAAUCUUAGAUAGGUUAAACAACUAACACCAAAAAUAAAGGAUAAUAUAUUGCCUAAUAAAGAAUAUUAUAAAAUAAAACCAUUUGGUUCUCAUUCUGAUAUUAUGUAUGAAGUUAAUAAAGAUGGAUGUCCAGUUA